UCUUCCUUACUUGUCUGGUUCCUGGGAUCUCAUCCAGAGCCAGGCACACAGGAAGUGCCCAUCAAAUAGUUGUCCAGUGGGUGGGAAAUAAAUAUGACCCUGGCUCAUAUCUUCCCCUGGGGGUCCUGAGCUCUGGCAUUUGGACUGAAUGGUUACGGUUUAUGGAAGCAGAUUCUGUAGACCGGCAUCAGGGAAUAAAGGGGGUCAGCCGAAUUAAAGCCUUUCAGUGUAUUAAAUGCCCUGGCUUCAUUUCCAGGCUUUUUGAUGUAGCUGGGAAAAUCCACACUGAAAUUCAAAAUGAUCUCCUUGGAGAUCAUCUAAUGCAAUUCCCUCAUUUUCUUAAACAAGGAGAUUCAGAGAAAAUAAAUUUAUCAAGUUCCCCAUUGGCUGUGUCUCUGUUCCCAGGUGAAGACUGGCUCUUGAGCUACAUUCUUGGUGGCCUUCCCUUCUUCCUCUGAUCACCAGUGAGGACACUGAGGAGGAAGAAGAGGAGAGCGAAGAUGAGGAGGAGGAAAAAGAAGAGAAAGACAAGAAAAUCAAGCACGGUCCAAGUCAGGAAAUGAGCCAGCCAGGCUGCCAUUGACAUUGUGGUGAACGCGGGUGAAACCCUCUGGAGGACUGCGGGAAACUUCAUCAUGGCCCUGCGUCUGGGGACAGCACCCUCAAAGGAACUGCCGAACUUCAGAAUCCAGGAGAACUUGACAGAUAAGCUCUCCAGGGGGUUUGGGGAUCUGACUCCACCAUGAUUUCUCAGGACAGUAUUAAAGCGGAUACUUACUGAAUCCUUUCCCUUAUUAACCCUUCCUUUAAUCCUCACGAUAUCCCCACUUCAC